AGUUGUGGUUGGAACAAUCCAUUUUUUUUGUACUUGUAGCGCACAUUGAAUAUUUAUGCAGUAUUUAGGUUAGACAAGUUGCAGUGGCUCUCUGAAUAGGAAUAGUACUUUGAUCACGUGCCAUGUCAGCCACCAGUAGGGCACCAGCUUUUUUACAAACUUCUGGUGUGCAUUUCAUAGGACACUUGCAUAAUUUAUGGGUCAAAUGUACUAUGGAUUCUGUUAGUAAAUAUAUUUGCAAAUGUGGUAUAGAUUUUGUCAUUGGUGAAAGUGUAGGAAGAAGCACAACAGGACAGAUGAAGUCGUUGCACAACAGGACAGAUGAAACUCAGACGCUCCACUAAAUCGAAAAGGACCAAAGCACUGAGUUCUACAAAGGAUUGUGGCCACAAUUAUCCGCGUAGUAAAGCAGGAAUGGCAUCUCUGAAUAGUUGAAGACCAAAUCGCUGUCUUCUACAAAGAACUGCGGCCACAAUUCUCUGUGUA